CAGUAGCCGCGGGAAUACGAAGGGUGCAAGCGUUAAUCGGAAUUACUGGGCGUAAAGCGUGCGUAGGCGGAUUUUUAAGUCAGGGGUGAAAUCCCGAGGCUCAACCUCGGAACUGCCUUUGAUACUGGAGAUCUUGAGUUCGGAAGAGGUUGGUGGAACAGCUAGUGUAGAGGUGAAAUUCGUAGAUAUUAGCUAGAACACCAGUGGCGAAGGCGGCCAACUGGUUCGAUACUGUCGCUGAGGUGUGAAAGCGUGGGGAGCAAACAGGAUUAGAUACCCCCGUAGUCCCUGUCUCUUAUAC
rnacentral:rRNA from 1 species